AGAGUUUGAUCCUGGCUCAGGACGAACGCUGGCGGCGUGCUUAACACAUGCAAGUCGAACGGAAAGGCCCGCCACCUUGGUGGUGGGUACUCGAGUGGCGAACGGGUGAGUAACACGUGGGUGAUCUGCCCCGCACUGUGGGAUAAGCCUGGGAAACUGGGUCUAAUACCACAUACGACCAUGGCGUAGGGGUCAUGGUGGAAAGCUUUUGCGGUGUGGGAUGAGCCCGCGGCCUAUCAGCUUGUUGGUGGGGUAAUGGCCUACCAAGGCGGCGACGGGUAGCCGGCCUGAGAGGGUGGACGGCCACAUUGGGACUGAGACACGGCCCAGACUCCUACGGGAGGCAGCAGUGGGGAAUAUUGCACAAUGGGCGCAAGCCUGAUGCAGCGACGCCGCGUGGGGGAUGAAGGCCUUCGGGUUGUAAACUCCUUUCGCCCGGGACGAAGCCCACCUGGUGGGUGACGGUACCGUGGAGAAGAAGCACCGGCUAACUACGUG
rnacentral:rRNA from 1 species